rnacentral:rRNA from 1 species
ACCCGCUGAACUUAAGCAUAUCAAUAAGCGGAGGAAAAGAAACCAACAGGGAUUGCCCUAGUAACGGCGAGUGAAGCGGCAACAGCUCAAAUUUGAAAUCUGGCGUCUUUGGCGUCCGAGUUGUAAUUUGCAGAGGGCGCUUUGGCAUUGGCAGCGGUCCAAGUUCCUUGGAACAGGACGUCACAGAGGGUGAGAAUCCCGUACGUGGUCGCUAGCCUUUACCGUGUAAAGCCCCUUCGACGAGUCGAGUUGUUUGGGAAUGCAGCUCUAAAUGGGAGGUAAAUUUCUUCUAAAGCUAAAUACUGGCCAGAGACCGAUAGCGCAUAAGUAGAGUGAUCGAAAGAUGAAAAGCACUUUGGAAAGAGAGUUAAAAGGCACGUGAAAUUGUUGAAAGGGAAGCGCUUGCAGCCAGACUUGCCUGUAGUUGCUCAUCCGGGUUUUUACCCGGUGCACUCUUCUAUAGGCAGGCCAGCAUCAGUUUGGGCGGUUGGAUAAAGGUCUCUGUCAUGUACCUCUCUUCGGGGAGAACUUAUAGGGGAGACGACAUGCAACCAGCCCGGACUGAGGUCCGCGCAUCUGCUAGGAUGCUGGCGUAAUGGCUGU